UGACUUCCGCCAUCUUGACGGGCCUGUC
rnacentral:sRNA from 1 species